GGUAGUAUGGCUGAUUAAAGCGGUAAACUGUAAAUUUACACAUAGAUAUAAUCUUGCUACCA
rnacentral:tRNA from 1 species